GCAGUGGUGGUUCAGCAGUAGAAUUCCCACCAUCUAUUUAUUUUUUUUUUUAUACAGGAGUCCCAGGUUCAAUUCCUGGCCAGUGCA
rnacentral:tRNA from 1 species